UACGGAGGAUCCGAGCGUUAUCCGGAUUUAUUGGGUUUAAAGGGUGCGCAGGCGGGGGAUUAAGUCGGCGGUGAAAUUUUGUAGCUCAACUGUAAAAGUGCCUUCGAAACUGGUUUCCUUGAGUGUAGAUGAAGUAGGCGGAAUUUGUGGUGUAGCGGUGAAAUGCAUAGAUAUCACGAGGAACUCCGAUUGCGCAGGCAGCUUACUAAACUACUACUGACGCUCAGGCACGAAGGCGUGGGGAUCAAACAGGAUUAGAUACCCGCGUAGUCCCUGA
rnacentral:rRNA from 1 species